rnacentral:rRNA from 1 species
GACGAACGCUGGCGGCGUGCCUAAUACAUGCAAGUCGAGCGAAGUUUUUCUGGUGCUUGCACUAGAAAAACUUAGCGGCGAACGGGUGAGUAACACGUAAAGAACCUGCCUCAUAGACUGGGACAACUAUUGGAAACGAUAGCUAAUACCGGAUAACAGUAUUUCUCGCAUGAGAGAUAUUUAAAAGUUGGUUAUGCUAACACUAUGAGAUGGCUUUGCGGUGCAUUAGCUAGAUGGUGGGGUAAAGGCCCACCAAGGCGACGAUGCAUAGCCGACCUGAGAGGGUGAUCGGCCACACUGGGACUGAGACACGGCCCAGACUCCUACGGGAGGCAGCAGUAGGGAAUCUUCCGCAAUGGGCGAAAGCCUGACGGAGCAACGCCGCGUGAGUGAAGAAGGAUUUCGGUUCGUAAAGCUCUGUUGUUAGAGAAGAAUGGAUACGUAGUAACUAUACAUGUAAGAGACGGUACCUAACCAGAAAGCCACGGCUAACUACGUG